GUCUACGGCCGUGCCACCUUGAACGAGUCCGAUCCCAUCCGAUCUCGGAAGCUAAGCAGGGUCGGGCCUGGUUAGUACUUGGAUGGGAGACCGCCUAGGAAGACCAGGUGCAGUGGACG
rnacentral:rRNA from 1 species